AGGAUUUUCCACCGGUUUCAAACCAAACCGGUGGCAACUGCUAUUUUCGAACCGGUUCAAACCGGUGCCAAAUGGGAAAAAUAAAAAGCGGGCUGCUACUUUUCUUCUUCUUUCUUUCAUUCUUUCCAUGUUCUCUGUUUUAUUAAGUUCCGUCUCGUUUUCGACUUCGUUCUCUUUCCAGCAUCCCGAAUUUUCACCUUCUCCAUUGAAGUUGUUGCCCUAGCUUUCUCACUCCAUUGAAGCAGCACCUCCGCCUCCAUUGAAUUGUGCUCUAUGUUCUCCAUUGAAGCCGAAUAUGUGCUUUCUCACCUCCAUUGAAGCAACUUCGAGGGAUGCAGAUUCUUUGAAAUCCGUGGGUCGAGUUAAUCAACUAAAAGAUUUGGCACUGUUGCUAGAUGCUGCAAGCAAAGUUAUACCUUUCGUUGUCUGCGUCUCUGGGCGUGUUGGUUCUGAAACGCCAAUAAAAUGUGAAUGUUGUUGGGUUGUGAUUGUUGCUUGUACAUGCUAAUUAUAUGGUGAGUGGUGCUAGAAUCAUUAAUGCAGAAUUUCAAUGCAUUCAUGAUAGAUUAGACAUAGUUGUUUUCAGAUUUUAGAACAAAGAAAAAGGAAGAUGAACCAAGUUAGUAUCAAUAUUACUCUCUCCGUUGAAUUUAGCAAUCUAGGGUUUGUCGUUAAUCUAGCAAUUGUGUUAUAAAUUAGUGGAAUUACAUUAUGUACUCGGUUUUUAAAAAAAUUAGUGAUUAACAAUUGUUAGUUUGAUUAAUUUUUUAUAGAUUCAUAUGUGAAUUGAAGUACAAGUUUAGCUGCUUGAAGACUACAUAUUGUAGAUAUAGUGGGAAAUUAGAAAGAAUAUAUCCAUUGUACUUGCUAUAGUGUGCGCACAACAAGAUAACGGAGUUGAUUGUGGAC